rnacentral:lncRNA from 1 species
CCCCACUGUAUUAACUUUUAUUCCUCUAAGUACACAUGUGGAACUGCAUGAAAAUAAUUUUAAUUUUGAAAAUUUGAUCCCAAUGUCACACAUUGGCCCCAUUAUUUCUAGAAAGACCCGGUUGUGUCAGAGAACGAACAUGCCUAUCUUCAAUGAUUUUGAACUAGAGACCAACGUACCAAUAGUAACAGACUUAAUAAUUCCUAUUACACCUACUCACUAAAGAUCAUAUCAGUACUUCCACAGAUGGGGGUGCUCUAAUGUCUUUAUACAGAAUCGUUGGUGAUGUUUUUUUAAGUUCCCAUCCUGGUUGAACUAUUUCCCACUGUAAGAGCAGACCAGUGUUUUGGUUCCACUGUGAAUGAGGAGAAACUCUUGUCACACUGAGUGCAGUGAAACGUCUUCUUCCCUGUGUGGCUCUGCUGGUGGUAUUUAAAGAUCCCCCUUAAGCUAAAGCUCUGUCCACACUCAGAGCAGUGGUAAGGCCUCUCUAUGCUGUGUUUCCGCUGUUGGUAUGUCAAUUACCAUUUCCUACCGCAACAUUUUUCACAUUGAGGGAGUUCUUUUACACUGGCCCAUGAUGUCAUUGGUCGAAAGCGGGAAGGGAAGGGAAGUAGCCUAAUCUGCGUUGUUCGGUCAUGUUGUCAACAAGGCAGCAUGAUGCAUCUUCCAGAAAUAUACAUCUCUUUUCCAAAAAAUAAAUGGGUUAUCAUUAGGAUGGCAGAUAACGCAUUGUUAUAAAAAGCAAUCACUAUUUGCAAUGGGAAAACACAGAAUCCUACUCAUUACUACAUAUGCUUAAUUACGUCAAUUUUGUUUCGUGCCAACUUUGCCAUUGGACAGAGUGGGCACCUGGCUCACGCCCCGUCGCCUGUAUGUGUCAACUGAUGUCUUGUAAGAUCUCUAUAAAAAUAAAAUCAAAACAUUUGUCACAGAGCACUGAUAAACUAGAACAACAACAAAAAAUUAGGGGGGAUUUUCAUUAAAUUUAAUCCAUAGAAGGGUCCUUUGGAGGAAGCAUUGUUGACCUAUAUUUGAUAUUUGCAUCUUAAAGCAUAAUUGAGAAAACAUGAAUUGAAGUUGGAAUAUUUGUGACAAUUUGGCCUUACCUACAGUAGGCCUCCUAUAAGACUCCAUAAUGUUUCAUCUGUAGGUGCUACAAAACCAAAAUUGGUGUGAUAUGAAGCUUUACUGCUUGCU